UCCGAGCUGUCAAGUCACAACAUUAAGUAUCACUAUAAGAUAAUAAGCUAAAAUUAAAUCAAGUUUAAUAUCCCAUUUUUUCUUGUACCUUCUCACAUCACGACAUUAAGUAUCUAUAUGAGUUAAAAUAAAGCAAGUUAAUGUUGUUAGUUUUCCAGUACAGUUGUGACAUAACUGUGAUGUUUAAAAGGCUGGAAGUCAACUGCUGCCUUUUUUCUUUUCCCCUGCAGAGACAACCCUCCAUUAGUUUUUCUUCAGAAGCUUUCAAGAUGCUUUAUUUAUUGAAGUUGACUUAAAUUUAGUAGUUUUUUUAAUCCCUAUGACUUUUGCGACUAGUCUUGUUGAAUUCUUUAAACUAACCUAUCAUGUCCUUUUAGGGACUUUGCUUCAAGGAAUAAGAAGGUGUAAUGAAAUGUAGCAAUUACGUGAUUUGAUCUUUCGUUUGUGGUUUCUAGCUUUUGUUCAAUCUUUUCUUUGCCAUUUGAAGCCUCAUUCUCUUAAUACAAAUAUAAUCUUUACAUUCUCUUAUCUAUCUUAGUAUCUGUGAUUCCCUUGGAGGAAGAUAAGAAAAUAUGCUUCAAAUGAUAACGACUUCAUUCUCUACCUUUUCAUCAAAAAAAUGAUUGAGGAUUCACUAUACUCAUUUCUUUCCUUUUUUCUCCAGUAAAGUAAUGCCCUUGCUUCCCUCAAAUAAACUUUGGUGGUGGUUUGCCUAGUGGAUGGACACAUUUUGGCCUCCUUGUCUCUAUCCCAUCUUGAAACCCCUAGCCCAACAGCAUGUGCUUUUUUUAAUUGCCAUGGCAGAUCAAACACCUCAAUCCCAUUGCUUCAUUUCCAUGCAUUUUAGAACGUAAGUAGGAAUAUGAACUUUAUAUUUUGAUUAGAAAAAUUGAACAUGUAGCAAACUUCUAAUCUUAUUCUGAGUUCUGAUAGUGAUGAACUGGCUAAUCUGAAGGGUGAAGGCAGACUUUGAAAAAUGGUUACUCUUCGGUUGGCUGUUGUCCUGUUUUGAUGGUCAGUUCAUAUCUUGGUCAUAGGAUUCAGUUUCUAGUUUGUAAGAGAUGGCAUUUUGGCUAAUGAUGAAGAUGGUUUUGAGGUGGAUUGGGAUGAAUUUCAUAACUUUUACGAGGAGAGCAUUCUGUCUUUUGCAGGUUUUUGUUUAAUGAUAUCAUCUGAGGCCCAGACCAAAAGAUCUUAUUUCUAUUCUAAAGCAAAAUCCCAAAAGCAAACUUGUGAUGAGCAUAAAAAAAAUCAUUUAGUUCUUGCUCGAUUCCUAGUAUCUUUGUCCUUGUGUAACCGUUCCACUGUACUUAAGUGCUUAAAUUCUAGUGGCACUUAGUUGCAGCACCCAUUUACAUUCCAAUGUUGCUGUUGCUGUUUACGAACCUGGUUAAUCCUUAUAUGUGUCUCAUAAACAUCAUUAAAUCCUAUAAUCUGACAUCUUUUUUAUCAUAAGCAGAUCUGAGUUUAUAUUUAUCAAUCCAAAUGCAACUGGACAAUGCGGUUGUGGAGAAUCUUUCAUGACAACAACUAGCUCAGAAGCUGCUAAGUUGCGUGGCAAAUCAAUAUGAUAUACGUUAUAUAUACACUUAGAAGUGUGAGUAUAUAGCCUGGAGUGACAAAUAAACGAGUUAAUGGUCUGAAACAAAGGGUUUUGUUAUUUUUUAUUCCACCUUUUUUAAAAUCUUCUUUUCUUGUGUACAUAUUGUAACGCUGUUUCUUCACCCCAAUAAUAUGAGUUGAUGAAUGUAUUAGUUGCUGCAGUAGAUGUUGUAAAUAAUCAAAUUUUCUUUUUUCAUUAGUUAUUAUUUGGGAAUUUAAAUUGGUUCCUCUUUGCAAUCAUUGUGAAGGAUUUCGGUUCGAACAAUUGUUGCAUGUAAGAGUCAUUAGACCAAACAAAAAGAACAAAUUAACGACAAACAAUAACUCGAUGUUUGUUUGAAGCUUUAUGGACGCAUCAAUUUUGAAUUAGUAAUCUUUUUCAUAAUUUUUAAAUUCUACUACGUACAAGAGAGGACGGGUGAAGGAGAAAGAAAACGGUGAGAAUCAAAUCAACUUCGACCUGUUGCGUUGAAAACUCUCACUGCUUAGACUAUAAAUUUUGGUAUUUGAAUGAGUAACUUAAAGUUUCAACUCUUUCAUAUGCAUAACUGAAUAUGGAUAAAGCAUACAUUACACUGUAAUAAAGCAUGCGACCAAUAUAAAUAAAUAUAUACCAAAUCAUAGCUUAAAUUUUUAGAUGAAAUGAUCACAUGAUUCAACAUUUAUUAGGAUUUUUACCUUGAGAUUUCUUCGACUCGAAUUUUAAAAUCACCUUUUGCAUGGCUGCUUUGAAUCUUUUCACCAUCUGCUUAUCAUCUGCUAACUCAUUCUUGUCAAUACUUGACGACGACUCGUCUUCUUGGCUUCCAUGGAACUUGUAAAGCUUCACGUACUUCAUAAUGUUCUCCAAAAAAAUUCUAAUGAAUUUAUUACAAUCGAAAGGGGGCCAUUUAUAGUAUGUGAAGAUUCAAAAUUGAGCAUAAAAGACAAAAGAAACAACAAGAGUUUCUGCUAAAAGAAAAAAAUUAUAU
rnacentral:lncRNA from 1 species